CGGUCUCUUGGUCUGGAUCGAUGAAGACGCAGCGAAUGCGAUAAGAAAGUUGAAUUGCAGAAUUUAGUGAAUCAUCGAAUCUUUGAACGCACAUGGCCCCCGCGGUAUUCGGCGAAUUGCCUUGUUCGAGCGUCAUUUCACCCUCAAGCCUCGUCUUG
rnacentral:rRNA from 1 species